rnacentral:rRNA from 1 species
GUCGAGCGGUAGAGAGGAGCUUGCUUCUCUUGAGAGCGGCGGACGGGUGAGUAAUGCCUAGGAAUCUGCCUAGUGGUGGGGGAUAACGUUCGGAAACGGACGCUAAUACCGCAUACGUCCUACGGGAGAAAGCGGGGGACCUUCGGGCCUCGCGCCAUUAGAUGAGCCUAGGUCGGAUUAGCUAGUUGGUGAGGUAAUGGCUCACCAAGGCGACGAUCCGUAACUGGUCUGAGAGGAUGAUCAGUCACACUGGAACUGAGACACGGUCCAGACUCCUACGGGAGGCAGCAGUGGGGAAUAUUGGACAAUGGGCGAAAGCCUGAUCCAGCCAUGCCGCGUGUGUGAAGAAGGUCUUCGGAUUGUAAAGCACUUUAAGUUGGGAGGAAGGGUAGUAACUUAAUACGUUGCUACUUUGACGUUACCGACAGAAUAAGCACCGGCUAACUUCGUGCCAGCAGCCGCGGUAAUACGAAGGGUGCAAGCGUUAAUCGGAAUUACUGGGCGUAAAGCGCGCGUAGGUGGUUCAGUAAGUUGGAAGUGAAAUCCCCGGGCUCAACCUGGGAACUGCUUUCAAAACUGCUGAGCUAGAGUACGGUAGAGGGUGGUGGAAUUUCCUGUGUAGCGGUGAAAUGCGUAGAUAUAGGAAGGAACACCAGUGGCGAAGGCGACCACCUGGACUGAUACUGACACUGAGGUGCGAAAGCGUGGGGAGCAAACAGGAUUAGAUAC